CUCUGCUCCAGCGACCGCCUGCUUCCUGUGGGAGCUGCUUGGCCAGCCUGUCCCAGGGUGAGGACAACAAGCAAAGGCCCAGCCAACCCACAACACACAUAAAGCACAAGCAAGAAAUAAACCUCUGUGUGCUUUAAGCCACUGAGGAUGAAGGCUGCAACCCCGCUUCCUGACAGGGUAGGGGCUCAGUAAAAUCUGUGGUUGACCGCGCCCGCUCUCCUCACAGAGCUCUCACAGCACGCGGAGUUCUGAGGGACCUGUUCACUCACAAUGCGCCCUGUUCUAGUUUAGAACAAUUCUCAGGUCCUUCCUAGUACCAAGUCAAAAGCCAUGUUCUUAAAGAAAGUAAAUGGCAGGACAGGGAGCAGGCAGAACUUUAAAAAAAAAAAAAAAUCAGCUUCACUCCCUUCCUUCCACGUCUGCCUCAAGCAGUCCUGAAGAAUUCUUUGAUCAAAGGCAAGCGAGCGACUUAGAAGUUAUGCUGGGAGGAGUGAUCAAUAUGGCUUGUCUUGUAGAUGGUUUUACUCAAAAGCCUCUAAAGAAGCUUAUAGCUCCUUCCAGAAAAGCACAGGGCCUCAAGGAUAUAAUCGCCCCAUCAGUAUGGACCCUAGACGUGAAGAGCCCAGCAGGAGAAGGCAGAAGGGAUCAGUGCGCGGAGGGGUGCUAAGCCAAGAGGCCACUCUCUCCAUCCUUCAGGACGGGGGAUUCCACAACAUGCAGACAAAUUCUCUGGUACGCCACUUUCCAAGAGGUGAACCUCAAUAACCCUCCCCUCGCAUGUGGGCUAUACUUAGUGGCUCGCUUAUAAGGAACAGAACACAGCAUAAAUGAUGACAUGUGACUUCUGAGGCUUGAAAAGGUAUUGUGGCUUCCUCUGUGUAUUUUCUCUCUCUGAUGCCUCAUCUGGGAGAAGCUGUUGCCAUGUCAUGGGGACACUCAGAGCCCAAUGGGGAGGGCCACAUGCUGAGGAACUGAGGCUUCCUGAUUACAGGCAGCACCAACGUGCCAGCAAUGAGAGGGAGUCAUCUCGGAAGUGGACCCCUCUGGUCCCAGUCAAGCCAUCAGAUGACUGCAGCCCUGGCUGCACCUUCCUGAAUUACUUGGAGCCAGAACUACCUGGCUAAGCUGUUUUUGAUUUUUUUUUUCAUAGAAACAGGGGUCUUCCUAUGUUGUCCUAUGGGCUCAAGUGACCCUCCCACCUCAGUCUCAAGCAAGUAUUUGGGACUACAGGGGCAUGCCACUGUGCCCUGGGAGAUAAUUUCUUACCCAGCAAAAGGCAAGAAGGAACCACUUUUUGGUGGAAAGUGAAAGUCAGGGCAGAUUUGCCUGGCAGCUCUGGACAAAGUUGCCUUGGAAGUGGACUUGAGCUGGAAGCCCCAGCCAUGGUGGUUGAAGCAUAAAAACACAGGCAUAAUGAAGGGAAAACCUGGAUUAUGGUGGUGAGGAAAGGCCAGUGGGAGAUGGUAGGGAACUGCAGCACCUUCCAAUGGGAACAGAAAAACGAUGCUCACAUCUUCAAACAGAAGUGGGUCUUCAGAAACCAGAAUACCAAAGGACACAAUACCAAAGGAAAGACGGAGCUGGGGGAAGAGACAGAGCUAGCUGAUUGACCCACGACACCAACUGGGCUGGUCCCGGCAGACCUACUUCUUUUCCUAACAGAGCAAGAAUGGACCAUGACUCACCACCUAAAUGGAAAGGGGCAAUCUCUAUCCCCAUGCCCCCACGCGGCCAGCUGCUGGGCCACCUGCAGAUGGAGGAUGCAUCGUUCAGUGCUUCAUUCAGUGAAUCAAAUGUUAACUACCUACCACCUACCAGGCACCACAGAAAUGAGCAGAUAUAACCUCACCAAGCAAUAACAUGAGGCUGUUAAAGGCAGAAAAAUGGAUAAGGUUGUCAUCUCACUGGAUGUUCUUGAACCUGGAAUCAAGUAAACUCCCAAGAAAGUAAGUGAAAGCUUCUGGAAAGACAGGACCACAAAGAAACUAGAGGAGGAAGCAUCCUAUCUACCGGGGGAUAACUUAAAGACGACUGUGCAGGUAUUUUCUACACAGUGGGUCAUGAUCCAUCAGUGGAAUCAAUUUAGCAAGUCAAUGCCAGCAUUUUAAAGAAAUUGAAAAUAGAAAACAUCAGAGUGUACUACACAUAGUAAGGUGUAAAACUGUUUUAUGAAACUGUUUUAGCAACAUAUUCUAUAAUCAGUUAUGUGUGUAUUGGUAGCAUGUCUACCAGGUUGUGAUAUAAAAUGUAUAUUUUACUAUAGGUUAAAAAGUUAUUUGACUGUUUUCACCUUUACUCCUCACAUGCAGCCACCAAGUUCUCCUGAGUUUACUUCCCAAAUCUAUUCUAGCCCCUAAUCCCGCUCCCUGUGCAUACUACUCCCUAAAUAAGCUCAACAUCUUUCACCAGAACGAUUAGAACAGUCUCCAGACCAGUCUCCCCUGUACUGCAUAGUCCCCUUAAAUCAGCCUCUAACCCCUACACCACUGAAUGAUCUAUUGGAAAUGCAGAUCUGACCUCGUCAAUCCCCAGCUUAAAAGCCUGCAGUGCUUAUAGAAUCAAAUCAAAGCUCCCUUAGCACGGAGCAUCAUGCUAAGACCUCCUUAGCAUCAGGUGCUAUACAAACCGACCCCAAACCCCUUCCAAAUUCACCUCCUCCAACUCCUCAAUCACUGCUCAACAGGAAGACCCAUGGGGCUUUCUCUGGUCAUCUCCUUGCCUCUGCUCUUGCUCUUCCUUAGAGAUCCUGCUCGGGAAUCUUUUCCUUCAAAGAAUCUUCCUGGAACCUUGGAACAUGGCUGAGUGAAUCUACUCUGGGCUCCAGUAUACCUUGUAUCUACAUCUGUCUGGUAUCUUACACCCCAGGAAAAUUACAUUACCUGUAUGCCUGCCUCUUCCACUAAGCAAGGUUUUUAUCUACUUCCUCCAAGUUUUUACUCAAAUGUCUUCUCAAUGAGACCAUCCCUGCCUUCCCAGACUGCCUUAUCUAGAUUUUCAACUUAUCACUGCCUCCCUACCCCCCGCCCCUCCUACCUCCCCCUCUACUGGUUUCUUUUUUCUCCUUAUCACUUAUCAUUGUCUAUUUUAUGUGUGUAUACAUAUACACACACACACAAAAUGUUAGUGUAUGUACAUAUGUUUUUAACUUAUUAUCUACUAUUUCCACAACCAGGAAUGUCAGCUCAAUUAUUUGUCUGUUUUAUUACUGCUAUAUAAGAGGCACUCAAAAAAUACUUGCUUAAUGAGCAAAUACCAUCAAGAUCAGAGAUUGCAAUGAAUUCAACUUUGAGUCUACAGCAUGUAUCAUAGUGUCUCCUGCAGAGUUAGUACACAGUAAAUAUUUGCAUUUUAAAAGUGAAAAUAAAAACUCACAUACAACAUAUUCCACUUUUUGCCUCAUACUCUUCUCCAUUUGACAGACACAGAACAGAAAGAAUUAUGGCUGGACAGACCAGUCAGCUGACCAAAAGAAAGCAGAAAUUUUAGAAUAUCAUCAUACCUGAAUUAUGGGCAGGCCAUUGAAGAAAUUUUUAGGCAUCUUUUGUCUUUUGGAAAUGAAUAGUAUUUUAAAAAGAAAUUCAUUAUUUGUCAUGAAGGUAUAAAAGUUAAGAGCUUUUAAUAUCCAUAUUUUCAGCAUUCAUAUUUGUUGACACUAGAACCAUUAAAGCUCUGAAGGCAAUUGAAGCAAAUGAACCAUUAUGCUUCUUAUUCUUUGAGGGAAGGAGGCUUUUAUUUGAUAAUAAGUCAUGGGCACAUCCAAUAUUUAUAUUCAUUUAAAAAAUAAAAUUAAGAAUGUAAGGAAAAUGAUAAGACAUGCAUAUGUUCUUGAAGUUUUAAACCAAAUCUCACACAUGUAUGUAAUUUCUGCUAAAACACAGAUUUAUGAACAAUACUUAAAACUUUAAAAGAAAUGUGAAACCAUUUUUAAAAGUUUCCUUCUGAUCAAAGAUUAAUAUAGAUGUUCUAAUAAAAAAGUACACAGUGUCACUUUGUCCUUAAGACAUAAACUGAACAAAAUUGGCAGAAAUUUAAAAAUAAAAAGUCACAUGACCAGAAAAAUAGGCAGUAUUUCUUUAAAAUGACACAAUAUCUCAUGAAGAACAAAGCAAACUUAGCUGAAAAAUAAGCAGUGCUUUUUUGAGUAUAUUCAAAAAGAAAAGAAUAGAACAUCCAAAGAGAAACAAAUGGAUGGUUAUGGCCUACAGAGGGAACCCAAGAUUUGAAGAUGUCAACUAUUAAGAUUCUUGAAGCAAAAUUCUUAACACUCACCAGUGUAAAUGACCUCGUAUCAUACAUAGGA